rnacentral:rRNA from 1 species
GACGAACGCUGGCGGCGUGCUUAACACAUGCAAGUCGAACGGAAAGGCCCUGCUUUUGUGGGGUGCUCGAGUGGCGAGCGGGUGAGUAACACGUGAGUAACCUGCCCUUGACUUUGGGAUAACUUCAGGAAACUGGGGCUAAUACCGGAUAGGAGCUCCUGCUGCAUGGUGGGGGUUGGAAAGUUUCGGCGGUUGGGGAUGGACUCGCGGCUUAUCAGCUUGUUGGUGGGGUAGUGGCUUACCAAGGCUUUGACGGGUAGCCGGCCUGAGAGGGUGACCGGCCACAUUGGGACUGAGAUACGGCCCAGACUCCUACGGGAGGCAGCAGUGGGGAAUAUUGCACAAUGGGCGGAAGCCUGAUGCAGCAACGCCGCGUGCGGGAUGACGGCCUUCGGGUUGUAAACCGCUUUCGCCUGUGACGAAGCGUGAGUGACGGUAAUGGGUAAAGAAGCACCGGCUAACUACGUGCCAGCAGCCGCGGUGAUACGUAGGGUGCGAGCGUUGUCCGGAUUUAUUGGGCGUAAAGGGCUCGUAGGUGGUUGAUCGCGUCGGAAGUGUAAUCUUGGGGCUUAACCCUGAGCGUGCUUUCGAUACGGGCUGACUUGAGGAAGGUAGGGGAGAAUGGAAUUCCUGGUGGAGCGGUGGAAUGCGCAGAUAUCAGGAGGAACACCAGUGGCGAAGGCGGUUCUCUGGGCCUUUCCUGACGCUGAGGAGCGAAAGCGUGGGGAGCGAACAGGCUUAGAUACCCUGGCAGUCCACGCUGUAAACGGUGGGUACUAGGUGUGGGGUCCAUUCCACGGGUUCCGUGCCGUAGCUAACGCUUUAAGUACCCCGCCUGGGGAGUACGGCCGCAAGGCUAAAACUCAAAGGAAUUGACGGGGCCCCGCACAAGCGGCGGAGCAUGCGGAUUAAUUCGAUGCAACGCGUAGAACCUUACCUGGGUUUGACAUGGAUCGGGAGUGCUCAGAGAUGGGUGUGCCUCUUUUGGGGUCGGUUCACAGGUGGUGCAUGCCUGUCGUCAGCUCGUGUCGUGAGAUGUUGGGUUAAGUCCCGCAACGAGCGCAACCCUUGUUCACUGUUGCCAGCACGUUAUGGUGGGGACUCAGUGGAGACCGCCGGGGUCAACUCGGAGGAAGGUGGGGAUGACGUCAAGUCAUCAUGCCCCUUAUGUCCAGGGCUUCACGCAUGCUACAAUGGCUGGUACAGAGAGUGGCGAGCCUGUGAGGGUGAGCGAAUCUCGGAAAGCCGGUCUCAGUUCGGAUUGGGGUCUGCAACUCGACCUCAUGAAGUCGGAGUCGCUAGUAAUCGCAGAUCAGCAACGCUGCGGUGAAUACGUUCCCGGG